GCGUCGGUGGUGCAACGGUUAGUAUACGCUACCGGAAAGGCUGUGAUCUGGGUUCGAAUUCCAGCUGACGUA